GAUGAACGCUGGCGGCGUGCUUAACACAUGCAAGUCGAACGGAAAGGCCACAGCUUGCUGUGGUACUCGAGUGGCGAACGGGUGAGUAACACGUGGGUGAUCUGCCCUGUACUUCGGGAUAAGCUUGGGAAACUGGGUCUAAUACCGGAUAGGAAUCACAUGUGGGUGUGUGGUUGGAAAGCUUUUGCGGUAUGGGAUGAGCUCGCGGCCUAUCAGCUUGUUGGUGGGGUAAUGGCCUACCAAGGCGUCGACGGGUAGCCGGCCUGAGAGGGUGUACGGCCACAUUGGGCCUGAGAUACGACCCAGACUCCUACGGGAGGCAGGGGUGGGGAAUAUUACACAAUGGGCGCAAGCCUGAUGCAGCGACGCCGGGUGGGGGAUGACGGCCUGCGGGUUGUAAACUCCUUUCGUCAGGGACGAAGCGAAAGUGACGGUACCUGGAUAAGAAGCACCGGCUAACUACGUG
rnacentral:rRNA from 1 species